GACGAGGUGGCUGAGAGAAAAUAAGCGGUAGAUUGUAAAUCUAUUUAGAUCCUGUAGGAUUCUUGUUA
rnacentral:tRNA from 1 species